AACUGACUCGUUCACACAACCUAGCAAGCCAGCCACGAACCUGCAUCCGACACGUGACCUAGCCCACACGCGGUCCAAUCCACACUAACAGCCUGUCUGCACGACCCGCGAGGGUCCAUUACUCAACUCACACAUUCCAUCCAACCCGUGACCUACUGAGUUGGCCUUCGCACUCCGCCUAGCCUACGACCUAACCGGUUUGCCCUCCACAACCUUUU
rnacentral:lncRNA from 1 species